GGUGAAGGGCUUGCCCGCGUCUUCAGUUGCAGCAUAGUCGCUAUCAGCGGACGGUCUGCUAUCGACCGACAAGCGUUUCGCCAUCUGCGCUGCCGUACUUGUUGCAGUCCGAUUCUUGACUAAUUAAGCUGGCAGACUGCAAAGCCUGCCUGCCACAAGCUGAAAAUUUGGAAUGGCUGUUGAGACGCGUGUUAAUUCCCAAACACCGCUUAGGAGCUGACUGCUAUCCUGCCAGCAUACCGCCACGUAGCCAGGCAAGGUCCGUUCCCGUACGGAAUCGUAGAGGUGGCCGGGUGCGCUGCAGGGUCCAAGUGCGUGAUGGUAAAAUGCUUCAAAGUUGCUGUGUCUCUAAACCAGGCAAGCCAUUGAGUGAAGGGUUUGAGAUCGCCAUGCGGAAACGUACGGCCUGCGUGGAGCACGCCGAGUAUUCCCCGGUGGGUCGCGCGUAGGGUGGAGUCACAAUUCAUCCCUUGAACCCCCGCAUUGCCUAAGAUUGUGGUGGAAUGCUGCCCAGCCACCCGAUGAAGAUAGAAAGCACGGGUACACAAGAAAGACAGC
rnacentral:lncRNA from 1 species